CGUUAGCAAGCUAGCGUUUAGAAACAUCUAUUAACUAAGUCCUGUCUGCAACGCGAAUUAAAUACUACGUGGGGACCUGAGCCCUAGGACCAUGCCUCAGGACUACCUGGCCGGAUGACUCCUUGCUGUCCACAGUCCACCUGGUCAUGCUGCUGCUCCAGUUUCAACUGUUGGCACUGCCUGCCUGUACACUGCCUGUGCCUAUGGAACCCUGACCUGUUCACCGGACGUGCUACCUUGUCCCGGACCUGCUGUUUUCAACUCUCUCUCUCUACCGCAUCUAGUGUCUCUUAACUCUGAAUGAUAAAAAGCCAACUGACAUUUACUCCUGAGGUGCUGACCUGUUGCACCCUCUACAACCACUGUGAUUAUUAUUUUCUGAUCCUGCUGGUCAUCUAUGAACGUUUGAACAUCAUCUUGGCCAUAUUCUGUUAUAAUCUCCACCCGGCACAGCCAGAAGAGGACUGACCUCAGAGCCUGUUUCCUCUUUAGGUUUCCUAGCCACCGUGCUUCUACAUAUGCAUUGCUUGCUGUUUGAGGGUUUAGGCUGGGUUUCUGUACAGCACUUUGUGACGUUGGCUGAUGUAAAAAGGGCUUAAUAAAUACAUUAGAUUGAUUGAUAAUCCAUCCAGCUGUCAGGUAUUGCAUAUCAAGAAGCUGAAUAAACAGCAUGAUCUAUUACACAGAUUCACCUUGUGCUGGGUACAAUAAAAGGCCACUCUAAAAUGUGCAGUUUUGUUACACAACACAAUGCCACAGAUGUUUCAAGUUGAGGGAGCGUGCAAUUGGCAUGCUGACUGCAGGAACUUCCACCAGAACUGUUGGCAGAGAAUUUGAUGUUAAUUUCUCUACCCAAGUGUAUGGUGUCAUAUGUGCGAGCGGUUUACUGAUGUCAACAUUGUGAACCGAGUGCCCCAUGGUGGCGGUGGGGUUAUGGUAUGGGCAGGGAUAAGGUACGGACAACAAACACAAUUGCAUUUUAUUAAUGGCAAUUUGAAUGCACAAGAUACUGUGACGGCCCAUUUAAAAAAAAUGUAUUUGACCAACAGAUGCAUAUCUGUAUUCCUAGUCAUGUGAAAACUGUAGAUUAGUGAUUAAAUUAAUUUAUUUGGAUUGACUGAUUUCCUUAUAUGAACUGUAACUCAUUAAAAUCUGUGAAAUUGUUGCA